AAGGCUACUGUCUACUAUAUGUUUAACAGUUUCUAUAAAUAUAUUCGCAUUUGUUAUUUUUCAACAGGCUAUGAAAUAUUAUAACUUAUAAUAGUACCUAAUAAAAUAUAUUGUUGCUCUAUUUAAAAAUACUGUAAUUUCGGGAAGGGGGGCUGCAACCCACUAGGCCCACCCCCUAUAUACGCCACUGGUACUUAUAAUAAUUGAUAAGUUUUACGAUACUUAGAUAAGUCAGAUUAUACUAUGCUAAUAAUAUUAUUAUGUCUUAAGUACAGAGCGACGAGUUCUCGUUUGAACAAUAAACAGAGAUAGCGGGUAUCAUUUGGUCCUUGACCCUUAUAUAUGUAUAUGAUAAUUUUACUUAUAUGCAGUGUAAUACUGUAAUCCCUUCUACUUUUGAUGAGUAUCAGUGGAACGAAACAUUAAGGGAUCACCCGAUUCGCUCGUAAGUUUAUAUAUUACGGUGUAACAAAAGUAUAACCAGUACAACAUUAUUGUAUUGUUUUGUAGAACGUCGGUGCAUCAGCGCAAUCCGUGACUUCCCACACCCCUUGUGGCCCACGUUGUAAUUGAUUAUUUUGUAUUUAAAUGUCGUGUAUUUGAAGUUUUUGUUCGCUUUAAAGUGCACAUUUUACGUGUUUUUAGUGAAAAUAUGCACUUUUUCCAGCUCUAAUUAUUACGUUGGAGUGUUGUGACAGUGUUCUGUGGAUAAAAAAAAACAAAUAACUAGACCCGAGUGCCUAGACCGGUGUGGAGAAAUACACUCUGUCGAGUCAUCACGAAAUGAGUACCUCAACUCGACGUUGCUGUAUGUCCGGUCCAAUAAUAACAAUGGCGUACCAGACGUCGCUCCCAAACCGGACGACAUCCAUCUGCAUAACUCCUUCCGCAAGAAUGAGCGGUAUAGUUUGAAAACUUACCAAAGUUAUCUGGUGGAUGUCGAUACGUUGGUGAGCAGCCGUCGCACAGGUCUGAUGUACCUAUGGAAAGUUAUUAUUGGAUCGGUCAUAAUAUUACGUUGAGAAGUUAUCUGUCCAUAAACUUAUUUUCAGAUUAGUAGGCCAAUUCCGUUGCCAUUUUUUAAUCAUUCUUUAUUUUUAUUAAGGUUGAGGUGUAACAGCAUUUUAGGGGCUAUUGUAAUUCCCACUUCCAGGACUUUAUCAUACAUACAGCCGACAGCCCGAUGACCUACAUUUUUGUGUAUUCUGGUCUACCCUAUGAUGGCCGCGAAGUAACGAUCACGUCACCGUUUAUCAGAUUGCCCAGUUUGAAAGAGUUUCCAACAAUUUCAUCGGAUAGGUACGCCAUAAACCGUGGCAUAGCGCUGGGCCAGCAUCAUUUUGUCCUGAUCAAUAUCUACAAAAAUAACGUCCCAAUUAUUAGAAGCUAAUAAUAUAGUGUCUUUGUCGAACAGUCAGAAAACAGCCACAAAACGGGUCGACGCCGGUCGCUGAACAUGGAGAGUCCUCAAGUCCACCCAGCAUCGUAUUGAUGAAUCAACAAUACAUCUUACAUCUUACAUCUUACAUCUAUCAUUGCAAUCUUAUAAUUAUUCACCUGAAUUGAACAAAAAAAUAAUAGGCCACAAAUAUAAACGGACAGUUCAUUAAACCGGAUAAGUUGUAACACAAACUCGCAAAUUUCGUUUGAUCAGGUUAUUUUCAUAUAAUAUUUCGAUACUUUCAAGUUUCAGCUCAUCGGAGUGAGAUGAUUAGAUAAAGAUGGAUGAAGAUAGCUGUUUCUUCGGCGAUGGCGGCACUCUAGCUACGUUUCACCGGAAGAGUAGAUGU